UCGGAUAUGGUGUAGCGGUAACAUUCACGACUCUCAUGAUUGUUCCAACAAUCACAGGUCUCGUGCGCCCGGGGUUCGACUCCCCGUUUCCGAG